UCGUGACCUCGAACCAGCAGACCGCGAAUAUGUUUUUGCCGCAUUGGAUCCCGGCGAGUGGGUGCUUGCCCCUCUCCUCUUCUCCAACGCAUCAUCCGCCCGGCCCUCGCUGAAGCGAGCGUGCUAGGCGGGCCGAACAACAAAACCACGGCGCGGAAUGCGUCAAGGAUCCCCAAACGCGGAGCGACGCUCCCGUCCUGCGCCCUUCCGCGGGCGUCGUGCGCGGAAUGUUCGUCUCCUUGGAUUGAGUAUGAAAUAAC
rnacentral:misc_RNA from 1 species